UUGAAGGUUUAACUGAGGAAUGAUCAGGAC
rnacentral:piRNA from 1 species